UACGUAGGUUGCGAGCGUUGUCCGGAUUUACUGGGCGUAAAGCGCACGCAGGCGGUCUUGAAAGUCGAAUGUGAAAGCUCCCGGCCCAACUGGGAGAGGCCGUUCGAAACUUCGAGACUUGAAGGCGGGAGAGGCAGAUGGAAUUUCCGGUGUAGCGGUAAAAUGCGUAGAUACCGGAAGGAACACCAGUGGCGAAAGCGAUCUGCUGGCCCGCCCUUGACGCUCAGGUGCGAAAGCUAGGGGAGCGACCGGG
rnacentral:rRNA from 1 species